UAUUGGCCGAAUUUUCCCGAACUUUUCGCACUUGUGGGUCCCACGUCCAAUAUAUAUUCUUAAUUUUCUAAAAACUAUCCAAUACGAGAAAACUCAUCUUAAAACUAAAAUUACUCAUAAAAUUCACCAGGAAAAUAUUCCUAAGCCAGAAAAUGCAGAAAACAUGCAAUUAAGGGGAAAUAAACCCUAGGAAAAAUAUUAGGGUUUUACGGGUUCUCACACUCUCCCCCCCUUAAAAGAAUUUCGUCCUCGAAAUUCCUUAUCAGCGGAAUCCCUCAAAUCUAAGGUACCCAACGGAUCAAGCAAAUGACUAGCCCAAAUUGCCUACCUAGGCUCUCAUCUCUUCCGUAUCCGGGCACAAGAAUCCCAUCUAAGAUAAUUCACAACUCGAGCCGGCCGGUCCCAAGAGUAAACCAUCCUUAUUAAAGAUUCCUACCCGACAUACAUACCUAGUUUCCUCGAGUCCCAUGAUAAUGAUUCGCACACUUAUCACAUGCCCGGUUCAUAACUUACGCUCAAACGAGCACUUAAACGCAUUCAUGAAAUUAGGACCACAACACCACUUGGCCCAGUCUCACUC
rnacentral:lncRNA from 1 species